AGUGUCAACCCAUAAAUUUUAGGUUAAUUUCCAACGUACACGUACAUCCCCAUUUUUAUAUCCUCUAAAACUAUACCUAAAGUUCAUUCAAAAAUUAUUCCCCUUCGAAUCCUAAUUAAUACCCGAAGGCAUCAUAGAAUUGAACGUCAAGACAUCAUAAAUUUUUGUUGAGAUUUGUGCCCUCUAAAAUUCAAAGUUCCUCUUUAAUUAUCUUGCAGCUGAUCAAUGCAGAAACUUGUACGCAUGCAGCGUGUGUAGAUACGUGUGAUUCUUGUAAAAGUGCUAGCUCUCCAUCGCUCACUCUCAUAGAGACCCCCACAGGAGAUAUCAAAGCAAACGCCACCCACCUGAGCUAAAGUUUUUGUAGUAACCCACACAAAAAGGGAUGGGGCGCCUAGCACUCAAACAGCUUCGGAGACGAUUGACAAGCUUAAGGAGCUGAUAGUUGAUGACACCGCAAGAACGAACCCUGUAUAUCCGCAGGGUUCAAUACUGUGGGCCGAAGAUGAUGCGCUUGCAAUGGCAAUGAGAACAGCAGAAUACUUGGGUCGUGUUCGUGGAAUGGGGCUUGGGCCACUACCGGUUAGACCCACUUUUUGCUCACCUGCAUCAUCAGCAUCACGCUUGUCCCAAGAAGCUGCAUUCAAUAAUCGAAUGAAUGAAAUGAUGGAAAAAUGGGAGGAAGAAAGGAGAAAAAUGAAUGAACGGUUGGAGGAAGAUAGGAGAAGAGCGGAUGAAGAUAGGAGAAAAACAGAUGAACAGAUUGCAGUACAGAGUCGAGUGAUAGGGAAUAUGCAAAAGAUGAUCGAAAGUCUUGCGUCUGACAAUGCAGCACUAGUGGGCAACACUUCGGUUACGUAAGACAUUGAGUCACCUAAUUUCGUGAGGGUGAAACCUUCAAUAGCCAGUCAACCAGGUGCCGUGCCCUUGACCCCGAAUGAUGAUUCGCAUGAGUGACCGUCGUCACUUAC